rnacentral:rRNA from 1 species
AUUGAGCGCUGGCGGCAGGCCUAACACAUGCAAGUCGAGCGGCGGCGGGAAAGUAGCUUGCUACUUUUGCCGGCGAGCGGCGGACGGGUGAGUAAUGCCUGGGAAAUUGCCCAGUCGAGGGGGAUAACAGUUGGAAACGACUGCUAAUACCGCAUACGCCCUACGGGGGAAAGCAGGGGACCUUCGGGCCUUGCGCGAUUGGAUAUGCCCAGGUGGGAUUAGCUAGUUGGUGAGGUAAUGGCUCACCAAGGCGACGAUCCCUAGCUGGUCUGAGAGGAUGAUCAGCCGCACUGGAACUGAGACACGGUCCAGACUCCUACGGGAGGCAGCAGUGGGGAAUAUUGCACAAUGGGGGAAACCCUGAUGCAGCCAUGCCGCGUGUGUGAAGAAGGCCUUCGGGUUGUAAAGCACUUUCAGCGAGGAGGAAAGGUUGGUGCCUAAUACGUAUCAACUGUGACGUUACUCGCAGAAGAAGCACCGGCUAACUCCGUGCCAGCAGCCGCCGUAAGAC